UAAUUGCUGCCAAAAUCAUCACAAGCUGUACGUCAUCAAGGCUCCCUUUGCACUCCCAAGAAGAACUGUUCAUUUUAAACAAAAGUGAUGAGAAUUCCUCUGGAGGUGGGAACAGAGAAAACUUCAUGCUUGGUAAAGCACCUGAGGCACCCAUUACAAUCUGGGACAAGAUGAGGACAUCAACACUCAUGCUGUAUUCCACAUGGGAGGCCAAGUCAACUCAAGAUGAUUUUUAAGAGAUAUAAGAGCCAGGCAUGGUAGCUGAUACCUGUAAUCCCAGCACUUUGGGAGGCUGAGGUGGGAGGCUUACUUGAGUCCAGGAGAUCAAGACCAGCCUAGGCAACAAAGCAAGACCAAGACGCCUUCUCUACAAAAAAAUAAGAAAAUUAGCCUGGCAUGGCAGUGCACACCUGUGGUUCCAGCUACACUAGAAGCUGAAGGGGGAGGUUCACUUGAGCCCCGAGUUUGAGGCUGCAGUGAGCCACAUUAGUGCCACCGCACUAUAGCCUGGGUGACAGAGCAAAAGCCUGUCUCCAAAAAAAUAAAUAAAUAAAUAAAAGCUAUAAAUACUGCAAAGAGGCAAAA
ensembl:lncRNA novel transcript